UGGUGCUCUUGUUGAAAUCAUCUAUGUCUCCCUUUUUGUCUUAUACGCACCUCGACAUCUCAAGUUACACACAAUCGUGGUGGUAUCGAUGUUGAACGUCCUUUUCCCAAUCGCAGCGAUUGCGGCCACGAGAAGUGCGUUUAAAGAUGAGAAAACGCGUUCUCAAUCGAUGGGUUUCAUAUGUGCUGGUCUCAACAUUAUAAUGUAUGGUUCUCCUCUUUCUGCUAUGGUGCCAAACGGAGUGGGGUUUGUGUUUGGGACAAUGCAACUCAUACUAUAUGGAAUUUACAGAAACGCCAAACCCGUCGGUUCAAGGAAAGGCUCGAGUGAUAUUGUUGCAGAUGAAGAGAAUAGCCUCACGUCGCGUGUCCCUCUCCUCACUUAAACCAAUUUUUCUUCGUUUUACAACAAGCCACCUUUUAGAUUUUUUUUUCUUUUCUGGCAACUGUUUUUGUUGAUUUGGGUCGUUAUAAAUAUAAAUCUCAUCAUUUAUUGCCAUUAUUGUGGUGUGCUAUGGUUUGUAUUAAAUCUUGUUAUAAAGUAGAGAUGUAAAGGUAGACCACAACCCGUAGAUUAUGUCCAAAUAGUCCAUUAGCAGGGCGGCUCUGGACACACAUAUACAAACCGCAAUCCACGGUCGAUCAACUGCCAUAUAUUAAAAUAAAACUGAAUCCACAAUGGAUUGGACUAUUUGACGCGGGUUUACUCGCUUAACAUUUUUAAAACUAAGAAUUUUGAUGUAAUAAAAAGAUUGUGAAUAGUUUGAGACACAUAUGUUUUCUUAAGUAUUUUAUUCUCUAUAACUAAGAAAAUUUAAGCCAUUUAAAAUAAAAAGAAGAAAAAAUAGAAAAAAAAACAAGCAUGACCAAAAAAUAUAAUGGAAAUCGCAUUUCAUAUUUGUACAACAUAAAUUAGGUUUUAUACUUCUUUGGAACUUUGGAAUCUAAUUAUUACAACAAACACAAAGAAGUGAAUUUUGUAAUCAAAUAACGAAACACUUUAAUUUUCACUUGUUUUGUAUCAGCUGAUAUAGGCUUAAGGAUGAUCUUUGGCUUUUGUAUCUCAAUUCAUUAUAUAUUAUUGAAUUGGUUAUUCUCAACUUUGUUAAUUUUUUAACACAAGUAUUGGAUGAUAAUUAAAGACAAAUAUAUUGUAUGCAAAAGUUUAACCUGUAAGAGUAUUUGUUUAAACUCUUUCGUUUUUCUACAAUUCUCUUACCGUUUCUUUUUUAAAAUAAACAUUUUUCAAUCUAAUUCACUACAUUUACGGAAAAAAAUGUCACAUUUUUUUUUCAUAAGUAUUAUUCAUUCUAAAAGUGACAUUUAAUAUCUUAUGUAUUUACAUGGUUUUAAGCUUCAUUUUAGUUUUCAUAUUAAUCAUUUGGAUGCAUUUAGUGUAGAUUUAGAUUGCAUUGCAUUAUAUAUGUCUAUAUCAGGCAUUGGAGAUGCUUAUUGGUGACUUUGAAGACAUUUGAGAUGUUUUGAGAUCAAAAUAUAGAUGUUUGUAGCGUAAAUCAUUUUCUGGUGCUAGGUAUCAUAGCAACUUCUAUGUAGCGACUAAGACGCCACAUGAUUCUCCCUAGCGACAUGUGUAGCGACCAGGAGUGGUCGCUACGAGCAGACCAAGACUGAAGCUAAAGACGACCAAGUAUCCUAGCGACGUCAUCUAGUCACUAGGAUGUCCUGCGAGUCAGCAUAGCGACCUCCAUAGCGACAUGGGGGGGUCGAUACAGAUCCUGAAGAGUUGAAAGUCUCGUAGCGACCAGCCUGUAGUGGGAAGACCAAGUCGCUAUAGACGAAAAUACCACUUUUUUAUUGGGUUGACCCAUCUUGUUUUUAGACUUCUAUAAAUAUUUUUUAGACCCAAUACUCAGACUUAUCUUUUUUUCUCUAAACACAAAAUCUAUUUUGCUGAAAGAUUCAAUCUUUAGCUUCUUUUCAUCUUUAUCACUUGUGUUUAUUGGAUUAUCUUGACCAUUAAUAAUUAUUAACCUUCAAUCAUCUAUGUUUUUGGGUUAUUCAUGUCUAUUAGUGAGUAGUUACUUGUUGGAUUCAUUGGUUAGAGUGAUUAAGUGAAGAUCUAGGGUGUUUAGUGUUAGAUAUCUAUCUAUUUUCUUGCUUGUUGAGUGCUCUUAAUGUUAGUUUAGUCUUGAUCUCUCUAAAUAAGAACUCUAGACGUUUCAUAUUCGGAAGAUGUUUAUGAAAUGUUUGAACCAACUCAACUUUUCUCUUUUCUUGCUUAACCAAAGACAUUUGAUGUUAGAGAAGCUUAGAUAGUUAGCAGGGUUUUUCUUAAUGAUUUCUUGAGUGAAUUGAACCAAAGACAUUUGAUGUUUGACUAAUGAAAGUAAAUGAAAAUUUAUAUUGACAAAGAACAUGUUGAUGAUUGUUGUCUAGACUUAAGAAAAUAUGUUGAUUGAUAGCUUGCCACUCUAGAUUGGAUCUUAGCUACUUUAAGUCAAAUGCUUAAUCCUAUGAGUCCUAUUUUCUCUUAUUGAUUGAAAGUUUGAGUUUUGUUUUUGCCUUGCUAGUUACUUAUGACUUGUUUACAUCACUACCUUGAUUGCAUUUAGAUUAAAUUGUACAGCUUGCAUUCUUAGUGAUUGAAAUUAUCUAGAGGUUAGAUUGACCCCUAAAGUACUAUAACUACUUAGGAUUAAACUUAUUCCAUAUCAACAUUCAUAGCAUAAAUCUAUAUAAUUCAUAGCAUGGAAACUACAUAACAUAUUUUGAACCUGCAGGAUGGCCCACAAAACCGCUUAGCUAGGCGGGGCGAGCUUUGACAUAUAUAUACAAACUGCAAUCCGCAGCAGACCAGCCCGCAGUCCGCAUAGUAGUUGAACUUGCUACUGGUUGGGCUACUUGAACGCGGAUUGGCCCGUCUGACGUCUCUAAAUGUCACUUAGAAAACUGUAAGCCAAAAAAAAAAAUCAUUUGGUUUGAAGCUUAGUAGUAACUCUUAUAUAAUCCUACUAACCCCAUCAUUCAGACGUGGAUGUAGAAUCCGUACAGAGUCAUGUCCUCUAGUUUGCAAAACUAAAAACUCAGUUGAAAUAAAUAUCCAACUAGAUUGGGCUAAUAGGCAUGAUGCCUUUGGGAGAUUAGUCAUGCCCUCAAGUUUUUAUACUACCUGGAAACCAGAUGGUGUGAGCUGAUUCUUCUCAUAAGUGUUUAUUUAUUAUAAAGUCCCGGCCACUACAUGACUCUUUAAACCUAUUAUCUUUCUCCUUUCGUUUUGGUAUUUUGACUUGCGCAUUCGAGAGGACAGACAAUCCCCCUCUUGUCUUCUGCCAUCAUAACCAUGUUAUUGUUUUAGAAACGUCCUACGGCAGCUGAAAGCAAGGCUGGGCACGGGAUAAGUAGCCGUUAAUUUUUCCAUAUUUAUUACUUGGUUUGGCUUUUUUAACUUUUUAAGUAAUCAAAUUUGUUACUUGGACUUGAUUUGUUUAAAACAGGUACUCGACAUAUCAAAUAUUUGUUAAAAUUUUGAUACUUGCUAGUUAGUUGUUUGACUUGUUAUGUUACUUAAUCAAAUCUGUUAUUUAAUUUAAAAUAUUUGAUUAAUUGAAUCUAUUAAACUAAAUUAAGUACGUAAAACUCAUUUUACUCUAAUACACUAUCUAUACUAUUAUUUGAUAAGUGAAUUUGCUUACUUGUCAUGUUUUUCAUGAUUUUAGUUAAUUUGUCUACUUGUCAUCUUUUCCAUGAUUUUAAGAUAAAUCAUUAAUUUAAUUAAUAUUAUUAUUUAAAUUAUUAUUUUAAUAUUUAUAUAUUAUCAUGAUAUUAAGAUAAUUGAUAAAAAUUACCAUAUUCUAUUGAUAUAUGUAUAUAUUCUAUUAUUUAAAAAAUAUUUAAAUAUAUAUUUAUCAUGAUAUUUAAGAUAUUUAAUUAAUAAAUUGAUAUUAAAAAUUGACAUUAACAAUAUCUACCGAUAAUAUCAUCAUUACUUUUAUCUAUAUUUAGUUGAUGAUUUUAAUGACUAAUAUUAUAGUCAGUUUCUCUGACUUUUAUUAGAAAUAUUGAUCAAAUACAUAUUAUUAAAAAAAUUAUAUAUAAGUAUACUAAUAUAUCUGAAUUAAUCGGUUUCUUUGGUUUAUUCGGUUUGAUCGCUUAAUAUACUGAACCAUAUCUAUAUAUUGCGGUUUCUUAAAAAAUAAAAUUCAUUCAAUUUAUUCGGUACUACCAUAUCCAGAUUGUUUUCUCUAUUUCGAUUUGGUUCGAUUUUAAAUGGUUCGGUUUUACCGGAUUGAACACUCCUACACUAUCAUUAUUUUGUUGAUGUUUUAUAGUUGUGAUUUUAUAAAAUCCUUUCAGUGCGAUGUGAUUUCUUUUCAGUCCAAAUACAAUAUAUAUGUGUUUAAUUACAAAUACAAAUUUCUUAAUUUAAUUAUUACUAUAGAAAAUAUUUUGAUCCAAAAUCUACAUCACAUAAAUAAAACUAUGAAACAAAAGAAAAUAAUUUAAUACAUUGAUUAUCAAUAUUAAUAUUGAAGUUUUAUGAUUUAUAAUAAUUUAAAAUUUCUAUCAAAAUUAAUUAUUAUUUUUAUAAAAAUAAACAUCAGAACUAAAAAAUGGUUAAGUAUGUAGAUAUAUUAGUCCACACAAGGUGCGGGGCAUCAACUAGUUUGGCUUUAAUAUUGGAGUAAGGAAUUUAAUUUUUAAAACAAAUAUUUCGGGAUUUGUUUAUAAAGAAACAAUUACUAACAACACCUAUUAAGUAUAAUUAUUAUAUGAAAUAAACGGUUAACAAGUCACUACAAGAAAUAUUGGUUUUGAUAGCAGUAGAGGAUAGCAUUUUUGUCUUUCUGCUAUGGUUGACAUACCCGUUUGUUUUAGAUAGCGUUUGUAUAUUUUGAAACGCUAUGAUAGAGUAGUAUAUUUGGAAACGUUAUGAUAGCGGAUGUUUAAUAGCAAAAUAAUUAAAAUGCUAUGUUUGGUUUAUCUAAUCCCUAAACCCUAAACAAGUUUUUAAACCCUAAACUCCAAGUAUAAACCUUAAAAAUCUUAUAUUCUCAUACUAUAACUUCAAAUCUUGAAUUUUAACUCAAAUUUAUUCUUUUUAAGUUUAAUAUAUAACUUCCAAACACACAAACCUUAAUUCCUCAAUCAAACUCUAUACCCUAAAUCCUAACAUGAAACAUAUAUAAACCAUGCAUCCAAUACAUAUAAAUUUCAAAUCUAAAAUUUUAUUAAUCUAACAAAUUUUAAAUCUAAAUCUUAAUCACAAAUCCUUAUAUAGUAACUAUAACCCUUGUACUUUCAAAAAUUUUAACCCUAAAAUCAUAACAUAAAACACUUUACACAAACUAAUUAUAAAAACCCCAUUAUGCAGUUUUUGAAAAUCAUAUAACCAGAAAAAUCUAAUCAAAAUUUAUAUUUCAUAUGUUAAAUUACAAUAUAUAAUCUUUACAUUUAGGCAAUUUAUAAAACAAUUAAAAAGAAAUCUAAAAACAAUUUUAUUGCUUCUUUUUAUGACCAUUGAUUGAUUCUAAUCUAAGGGCUGAGAUUUUUCUUUUGUCUAUCUCCAACCUUCUCUGUCAUUGGUUAAUUUUUUUUCUCAAAGAUCACGGUUCUUAGCCAUUGAUGCAACGUAAUCCAAAGGCCACAAUUUAGUCUUUCUCUUUCUCACUUAUCUUCUCCUUUACGACUUUUUAUUUUUCUUUCUUCAGCAACAACAUCGACAAUUAAUCCAAUGAGGGCAAAGCAACUGGUUGUUGGACCACCAUGGUAGAAGAGACGACUGCACCGGUCUGAGUUCGUCGCUGUCGUCACCGGUCUCGAACUCGGAGGGAGCAUGGUGGUGCUUAGUAGCGAGGGUGAUUUCUGAAAGGGCGGCGGAGAGUGGAGGCGUGAAGAGUUCGAGGUGGUGAUGAAGUUUUGUCAAAGCAAAGCCCUCGCAACAUCGCAGUGCUCAUCCUCUUGUCCGGUGACGUUUUAAAACUCCUGAAGCAGGUUCGAGUGUUGUGACUCUCUCUCUCAGCAUCUGUGUUUUCUUAAUUUCUGGUAUUGAUUUUUAGGGUUUUCAGAUCUGUUUAUCCAAUGAUUCCUUUUUUUUUUUUGGAAAGCCAAUGUCAGGAUUACACAGGUGAAGUUUGGAUUGUUCUUUUAAGAUGUAUCCUCAGAUUUGAUUAGUGAAUCACGUGUUCUGUUCUGAGACUUUCAUUUGAUUCUUAAGAUGGCAAAGGAAUCUAGCGGUGGUGGUGGAGGUGAAGCCGAGCAAGAAGAAGAAGAGAGGUGGAGAAAGAGAGACGACAAAGACACACAAGGAAGAAGAGGAUACGGCAAGGUGGAUGGGAGAAGACAACACAUGUGGCUGAGAAGAUUAGAUUUAGGUUUAUUUUUUAAUCUGGGUUUAGGGUCUUUUUAAUUUUGGGUUUCGUUUUUGUAAUACAAUUUUAAUUAAUAAAUUAAUUUUAAUUAUAAAUCAAUUUUAAUUUAUAAAUUGCUAUUUCGAUAUAUAUUUUUUAAUUUUUUUUUUAUUAUUUAAUAAGAUAAUAAUAACGAAAAAGAAACGCUAUAAAAAUAUAUUUAAUUGCAUACACAAAAGCGCUAUAAUAUAUAACAAUAAGAUAGCAGUGCAAAAAACCGCUAUCUAAUGUGUCUGACCUACUAUGACGGGCGAUGAUACAGCGCUUCAUAAACCGCUGUCGUAUCGUUAGAUAGGGUUUUUCGUCCGCUAAUAAAAGUCUUUUUUCUUGUAGUGAGUAAACGCGGGAACAAAUUAAUAAUACUUAAUACUUGACUUGUAUAGCGAGUAACAAAUUUUAGAUUGAAUGAAUUGUUAUGAAUAAAUAUCAAUUGACAUUAACAAUAUCUACCGAUAAUAUCAUCAUUACUUUUAUCUAUAUUUAGUUGAUGAUUUUAAUGACUAAUAUUAUAGUCAGUUUCUCUGACUUUUAUUAGAGAUAUUGAUCAAAUACAUAUUAUUAAAAAAAUUAUAUAUAAGUAUACUAAUAUAUCUGAAUUAAUCGGUUUCUUUGGUUUAUUCGGUUUGAUCGCUUAAUAUACUGAACCAUAUCUAUAUAUUGCGGUUUCUUAAAAAAUAACAUUCAUUCAAUUUAUUCGGUACUACCAUAUCCAGUUAAUUUGACAAUACUAAAUAUUUGUUUUCAAGCCGAGAUAAAACAAAUAGCAAAAUUAGACCGAUUAACGAAUAAUUAUGUACAGCCCUAGCUGAAAGGAAAAAGAAGAAAUCAUACCCUCAAUUCCGUGAAGGCUCAAAUAAUGGUUGAACUGCAUGUUCCCUCAGUUCCACGAGAUUUAUAACUUAUUAAACCAAGCAAAGGUCAUAUCAGUUUUCAGUUUUCACUCGACUAGUCACCUAAAGAAGAGUCUAUUUGCAUUGUAUUAAGCUCUUAGCUGCCUCAACAAGACUAUGGACACAAAAAGCGACCAUGAUAUUACCAUACAUGAUCUUCUUUGUUGUUUUUGAUGUUGUUAAAAAAUUAUAAAAUAGGACGAAAUAUAUAAUCAAUAAUGAAAUUAUCUUUUUUUUAAUUGACGUUUUAAACUAAUUUAGCUAUUUCUAUCAAUAUGUUUCAUUUGCUGAUUAAAAUAAUAAAUCACCUCAAUAUUAAAUUUUAAACAUCCACAUCUUUUAUUAGCGAGUAACAAAUUUUAGAUAUGUGAUACUCGACUUGACAACACUAAAUAUCUGUUUUCAAGCCGGGUACAAAACAACUAGCUAAAUUUUACUGAAUAACGAAUAAUUAUGCCCCGUCCGAGCUGAAAGGCAAAAAGAAGGAACCCUACCCUCAACUCCGUGAAGGCUGAUUAAACCAUGCAUAGGUCAUAUCGGUUUUAACUCGACCAGUCCCCUAAAAGAAGAGUCUAUAUACAUUGUAUUAAUAUUUAGCUGCUUCGAGACACAAAAAACAACCAUGAUAUAAUACUACCAUACAUGAUCUUCUUUGUUAUUUUUGAUGUUGUACAAAAAACUAUAAAGUGGGACAAAUCAAUAUGUUUCAUUUUCUGAUUAAAAUGAUAAAUCAUCUUAAAUAUUAAUUUUAAACAUCCACCGAUCUGUGGAAGUCCCUUUAUAGUUUCAUUAAUGUUUCUACACUAGGUACAAAGAAAAAGUUUACAAUGGAAUUUUAACAUAGUACAAGUAAACCCGGUGAGACAUGGGUCUUCAUAGGGCGGUUCUGAUAAUACAGUUAGACGUAAAUUCUUAGUAAUGUCGGUUGUUGAAUCGUUUAUGUGAUCUUUUUCAUAAUUGUAAUAUCCUAAAAAAACAUCCAGAUCUCUUUUAAAAGACAAGUCAGCAUACUUACGAAACACUUUGUUCAGAACUGUAGAUAUUUAAAAUGGAUCCAAAUAUAUUUUGAACUGAGAAAUAUUAUCUUUGUUUCACUUCAAGUCUCUCCAUAGCAAAUAGACAGUGUGACGAACAUAACAAACGGAAUCAUGACAAUCCCCUACCUACAACACAGCCUCCCGUAGAACCAACCAAUCAAAAUCCUCAGAAAGGCUUGGCUUUGUUUUCUAAAAGCAUCUUCCUAAGCUCCGCUGGAUCAAUCUCAUCCGCACAAUUAGAAGGUCUGUAAUAUCCUGUGACUGGAUCUGGAGCCCACGCAGACUCUGCCUCUUGAUUUGCUCUUUGUUCGAGCUUCUCCACGUAACUCUGGUGGAACAUCCCUUACUUAGUAAUCCUGGUGAUGUCGCAACGUAAUUACUCCUAGAAUCCAACAACAAUACGAUAAAUAUUAACAAAAAUAUUUUCACGGUAACAUUUUGUAUGUAGCCAAAAAAUACCUUAAGACAAUGGAACGAGAAACUGUAACGAUCCGAAUUUCGAUCUCGGAACUCGUUAGCCGGCUAAGGCCCAAGCAAUACAUCAAAACUAAAAUGUUUGUUUAUAAAUACCCCAUCUUCACAUUGUUUUCUCCACCUGCAUCAAAAAAAAGAAAUCAGAAAAGUUAGAGAGAAGAAGAAGUGAAAAAGAGAGAGAGUGAAAGAAAAAAAGAUAGGAACCACUGCAUGCUGCCACCAGGAGUCCUCGCCGGAGCCACCGCACGCCAGGACAUCGUCAAGCUCGUCAUCACCAUCAACCUCAGCUGAGAAUCGUCGGAAACCGCCGCCUCUUAAGCUUUGUUUUCGUCCGUUCAGUAUAUCGGCCAUAUCUUCUUAACCGUUGAGAAUCUCGCGCAUGAAGAGCCACCAUCGUGUUCCUCUCGUCGAGACAAAGCCGUAGCCACCGACCACGCCGCAAUCGGAGUCCGGACGAAGCCGCUAGAGCCUCCGGAAGCUUCGCCUCUGUGCGCGCGUGAGUUAUACGCGCCGCUGCCGGAAAUCGUCUCCGCCGCCAGACCACCGCCUCACCACUACCGGAACGCCGUCGCUGUCGCCGUGCUCCGCCUUCUGUCGCCGCCGUCGUCCGCCGUCACCACCGAUUUGGAGUCUAUUUGAGCAUCUGGAGUUCAUAGAUACCACAUUUCCCUAUUACUAAGGUGAGGGCUACUCCGUUAAACCCCGAGCUAGUUUAGUACUACCAUUAUGGAAAGUUUAGUUUCGAAACAUGAUCCGUCUCUGUGAAUCGAGUCUGUUUGAGAGUCUUGCUUGUUCAUUAUUGAUAUUUAUUGUUAACCGGAAUUAGGAUAAUAGAGGAUUCAACGAUUGUGUGAAAUGAUUGAUGCUAAAAACUGCUAUAUAUAUGUAUAUACAUAGUUAUGAGUAGGGAUUAUGUGAUGAGGGCGUGAGUUCAGAGAUGUCUGAGCUUCGACACUACGGUAUGGUAUGGGCGUGAGUUCAGAGACGUUUGAGCUUCGACGCUACUGUUUGGGGCGUGGUGCAGAGACGUUUGCAUUUGACGCUACGAUGGGCGGGGGUACAAAGACAGACUGUACUAGCGACGCUUCGAGUAUAUGUAUAUAUCCUUAUGAGGAGAUGCGUGGUGCAUAGAGUAGCUAUGUACUAUAAGCGCAUGAGUUGUAACGGCUAGUCCUCUAGCCGAAUAUUGAUUGUUAUGUGUGGUGUAAUAGGCACCGUGUUUGUUUCAUGCUAGAGCUAUGCCUACAUUUUAGUAGUGCUAUGAACUCAGUCUGUGGUUUGCGGUUUAGCAUCCCAUACCUCGCUGGGCAACUCCCCUGUUGCUCACCCCUCCUUCUUUCCCCCUUUCAGGUGAGACCGACGAGCAGGAGUGAUUAUCGGACCGGUGCUAUUGGACUUUUGGGCUUCUAUCGCUUUUAUCGUUAUCGGGCUUUUAGGCCUUUGGCUUUUAUCGUUUAUGUUAUUUCCUAUUUCAGACUUACGGAUUUAUGUUGUCUUUAUAUUUCGGACUUAUACCGUUAUCUAUAUUUCGGAUGUUAUUUUAUAUUAUGGAUUUACAGCGUGGACGUUGACUUUUAUAUUUAUAAAUGAAGAUUUCAUAAACUAUUAUUUAUUGAAUUGUUUUUAUUAUUUCGAAAGUGACGGAUGUCACAGUUUUGGUAUCAGAGCGGGGUUCUGUCCCGGCUCCGACCCGGGAUGGCGAUUUUUGGAGACCUGGUUUUAUUCGGUUUUAUUCGGUUUUAUUCGGUUUUGACGGUUUUAGACGAUUUCAAAAUAUUUUCGGGGAUUUGGGGAUUUUGAAAAUGAAAAUAAAUAGCACAUUUCCGUUCGAUAUCACUUCUCCUUAAAUGUUGGUAUCAAAAGUUCAGCGUAUGUUGACUUUUCGCUUUCCUUUCAGAUGCCGCCAAGGAGAAGAACCACUCGUGCCCAGACCGCCAGAGCUGUUAGAGACGAUUUAGAUGAGCAUGAGCAGCCCGCAGUUCCGCCACCCGCGGCUCCACCAGUUGAUCAGGAUGCAUUGAGACAGAUGGUUCAGGAUGCCGCUAGACAGGCCGCUCAGGAGGCACUUCAGCAGAUUGCCCAGGAGGCAGCCAGGCAGGCCGCUCAGGAGGCUGCCCGAGUAGCUGCUCAGGAGGUUGCUCGUCAGAUGGCUGCAGUUCAGCAGGCUCCUCAGGUUCAGGUGCAGCAGGGUCCACAGAUUCAGGUUCAGCAAGUUCCACCGGUUCAGGUCCAGCAGGAUCAGCAGAUUCCCGCUCAGCAUGAUCAUCAGGAUCCCGUUCAGCAGGUUCCCCUUCCUCAGGUUCCACUGCAGCACGGACCAGCUCAGCAGUUUGCUCAUGGUGUUCAGGAUCUACCACCACCACCACCGCGACCUCAUGUUUACCCGGUUUAUGAUGAGAGGUUCUACAGGCUGACGCGUCAGAUGAGGAACAUGGAUAUGGAGCAUUUUAGUGGGACAGUGGAUGCUGUAGCUGCACAUGAUUGGAAGUUAGCCUUGCAGCGGAAGCUGGAGAUUAUUGAGUGUCCACCAGAGUUGUCGCUCAGAUUGACUAUGCAGUACCUUCGUGGAGAUGCUCUUAUAUGGUGGGAGGGAAUACGAUUGAGUCACCUUGGGCCAGAGAGGCUUACCUUCGCAGACUUCAUCCGAGAGUUCGAUAGGAAAUACUUUCCGAAGGAAGCUAUGGAUAGGAAGAAAUGCGAGUUCGAGCAUGUAAGCCAGGGUGAGAUGUCUAUCAGGGAGUAUGAGGUUGUGUUUAACCAACUUCGCAGAUUUGCUAGAGAGGGCAUUUUAGAGGAAGACCUGAUGAGAAAAUUUUUGAAUGGGAUGCGAGUGGAGAUUCGCAACAGGUGCCGUGUCGUCACUUAUCACAGAUUGGGAGAUUUGGUGGAGAAGGCUGCCGAGCAGGAGGCAGGUUUGGCAGAGGAGCAGAAGUACUCCAAGGCAGUUCAGCCUAAGUUUGGAGGGACUUCAGAGGCACAGCAGAGGACAUGGGACAAACCGAGCAUACAGUGCUUUUACUGUGGAAAGAUGGGACAUAAGAGUAGGGUUUGUCGGAGUAGGCUAUUUGAUGCUCAGGUUGCGCCACCAGUCAGACAGAUUGCAGCACCAGCAGCACCAGCAGCGGCACAUGUCUGCUUUGGCUGUGGUCAGCCAGGUCACUUCAUCAGAGAUUGCCCGAGGAGGGGAAAUGCGGCACUUCCACCACCACCGAAGCGUCUAGCCAUCGCUCCAUGUGCGUUUGCGGUUGGAGAUCCCCAUGGAGCUGAGCCGAUAGCGGGUAUGUGUUCUUAACAUACUUGCUUGUGUUAAUAUUUGUGGUUUUGUGGUUAUCUUGUAUAGUUCGAGAUUAGUGAAUGUCGUGUAUGAUUGGUUGUGGUUGGUGUGAGUUACCUCACACCUUAUUUGACUUAAGAGUUUUUCAUAGUUUUGUGAGUUCGCGUUUGGUUAAGUUUUAGUUUUUUUUGGGGGAUCUUCUAACCGAAAUAUAAGCAAAUUCAGAUUGUUGUUAUGGAGAGCAUGGGAACGAUCAAGAUUCAUCGCGAUAUACAUGUUAUCAUUUGAGUAUUAUGAUAGUAUCGUCGAGGUUUUUAUGGUGGGUCUAGUCGUACACCACUUUGUUGGACCAAAGUGGGGGAGAGACGUGAGAUGGAAUCAGCAAUGAUUCAAGAGACGGUAGAGCAAAUGGAAAUGCUCGAAGCUUAGGUUAGGAAGCCCAUGACCGUCAGAAGAGUUACGUGGAUAAGCGCCGUAAGGAUUUGGAUUUUGAAGUUGGCGACCUAAUAAAUCUGAAGGAGGAUGUUUCAAAAAGAAUCAAAGACUCGGAAUCUAAAGAAGCUUAACCAAAAUAUAUGGGAACAUAUCUCUUUAUUGGUCAGCAAGUGAAAUCAGUCUAGGGAGUGGUGACCAUGUAUCUAGUGACCAUGUUGGUCAAGGUUCGUUGGGAGGAAUAGGAUUCAAGAGGAGACCUGAGCCGAGCAAGGAUUAUUAUUCGAGGUUUUGUUACGAUGACAUUGGACAUGUCAGAUUAUGACUUGAAUUCGGGGACGAAUUCCUUAUAAGUGGGGGAGAAUUGUAACGAUCCGAAUUUCGAUCUCGGAACUCGUUAGCCGGCUAAGGCCCAAGCAAUACAUCAAAACUAAAAUGUUUGUUUAUAAAUACCCCAUCUUCACAUUGUUUUCUCCACCUGCAUCAAAAAAAAGAAAUCAGAAAAGUUAGAGAGAAGAAGAAGUGAAAAAGAGAGAGAGUGAAAGAAAAAAGAUAGGAACCACUGCAUGCUGCCACCAGGAGUCCUCGCCGGAGCCACCGCACGCCAGGACAUCGUCAAGCUCGUCAUCACCAUCAACCUCAGCUGAGAAUCGUCGGAAACCGCCGCCUCUUAAGCUUUGUUUUCGUCCGUUCAGUAUAUCGGCCAUAUCUUCUUAACCGUUGAGAAUCUCGCGCAUGCAGAGCCACCAUCGUGUUCCUCUCGUCGAGACGAAGCCGUAGCCACCGACCACGCCGCAAUCGGAGUCCGGACGAAGCCGCUAGAGCCUCCGGAAGUUUCGCCUCUGUGCGCGCGUGAGUUAUACGCGCCGCCGCCAGAAAUCGUCUCCGCCGCCAGACCACCGCCUCACCACCACCGGAACGCCGUCGCUGUCGCCGUGCUCCGCCUUCUGUCGCCGCCGUCGUCCGCCGUCACCACCGAUUUGGAGUCUAUUUGAGCAUCUGGAGUUCAUAGAUACCACAUUUCCCUAUUACUAAGGUGAGACCAACGAGCAGGAGUGAUUAUCGGACCGGUGCUAUUGGACUUUUGGGCUUCUAUCGCUUUUAUCAUUAUCGGGCUUUUAGGCCUUUGGACUUUUAUCGUUUAUGUUAUUUCCUAUUUCAGACUUACGGAUUUAUGUUGUCUUUAUAUUUCGGACUUAUACCGUUAUCUAUAUUUCGGAUGUUGUUUUAUAUUAUGGAUUUACAGCGUGGACGUUGACUUUUAUAUUUAUAAAUGAAGAUUUCAUAAACUAUUAUUUAUUGAAUUGUUUUUAUUAUUUCGAAAGUGACGGAUGUCACAGAAACACUGCCGGAUGCGGUGGAGAAAGAGAUUUAACGGCGCCGGGGAGCGAACGAGCUGCCAUUUUAUUAUUUCGAUAUUCGAAUACUUGUGAUGUAAUAGGGUAUGUAUGCUGACCGAGAGCUUAGCUUUUAGCUACCGCAAAAGACGUUAUGUUCUUCCAGAGUAAACAGAUAAACAAUCCUUUUGCAGUAGCCGUCGGUGCUAAGCCGCCGUCAGAAUCUCCGGUGAUGAUUUUGUAGGAGUCUUUAUUAGGGUUUAUGGUGUUUAUAUACACAACGGCCCAUGAAUUUUCUCAUAAUUGUUGCCAAAGUUUACUGCGGUGGUAGACUGAAAUGUACGUUUACAAGAAAGAACAUCCUAUGCUGUCUUAUUUGUAUUGAAAUAAUGCAACACAUGAAAGAGUGUCUCCCAUAAUUUGAUCUCUGCAAUAAAAGUUGUAAUAUGUAA